GCCCGGGUGGUGAAAUUGGUAGACACAAGAGACUUAAAAUCUCUCGAUCGCAAGGUCGUGCCGGUUCGAUUCCGGCUCCGGGCACCA
rnacentral:tRNA from 1 species